ACUUCUGCCAGGGUUGAUAUUUCUUGGAAGACAAAAUUAAAUGUGAUGUAACACAAAACAUUGUAAUUUUGGCAAGCCAAAUUAAUUUGCUUUUGCCAUUCGGUUAUCAUUUUCCGCCUUUACCGCCGCCAAACAUUUCCCAUGCAAGAUAUGCUAAAACCGUGCUGAGUUUUGCAUGUAGUUGAAUCGUCCAGCAUCAGUAUCAAGCAAAUAUUUUUGUACAUUUCCGGCUUACGCCGAAGGGAUUUUAAAGUGAUACUGCGGAAAACAUGCCAUGCCGGCGAACAUCAGUGAGGUGCACAAGGAAGCCAAUAAGCUGUCCACCACCUUGUCCACCACCCUGUCCUCCACCCUGUCCUCCACCCUGUCCACCACCCUGUAGAAGCAGUUGCAAUUCCCCUUCAUUUUUGACGUCAUUAGCUAAUGGAGCUCUUGCGGUCUUUCAAGGUAUUCAGACAGUGGUGUGUCGUCUAACGUCGUGGUCACCUCCUCCAUGUCCUCCGAGAUGCCCACCGCCUUGCCCCCCGCCCUGCCCGCCGCCCUGUCCACCUCCUUGCCCGCCGCCCUGCCCACCGCCUUGCCCGCCGCCUUGCGAGCCAGAAGAAGUCCCUGGCUGCAACUGUCCGCCAAACCCAGCCAAGUACCUGCGUCGGCUGAAGAAGAUCCAAGACCAGGUGAUGUCGGCGCCCGCUACCAGGGUGGUGGUGGCGCUGCUGGCGUGCCGGGCUAUCCUACACCUACUUGGAGUCAAGGUCUGCUUCAUGAACUCUCUGUGAGCCGAUGGUAAAUCUCUCCGUGUCUUCUUUUCUGCCUCCACCUUUUUUGGCAUCACAAUACUCACGGGCGUGCAGUGUUUCUACUGAAUACAGUAAUUACUGUUUUUA